GACGAACGCUGGCGGCGUGCCUAAUACAUGCAAGUAGAACGCUGACUACUUUAGCUUGCUAGAGUAGAAGGAGUUGCGAACGGGUGAGUAACGCGUAGGUAACCUGCCUACUAGCGGGGGAUAACUAUUGGAAACGAUAGCUAAUACCGCAUAACAGUGUUUAACACAUGUUAGAUGCUUGAAAGAUGCAAUUGCAUCACUAGUAGAUGGACCUGCGUUGUAUUAGCUAGUUGGUGGGGUAACGGCCCACCAAGGCGACGAUACAUAGCCGACCUGAGAGGGUGAUCGGCCACACUGGGACUGAGACACGGCCCAGACUCCUACGGGAGGCAGCAGUAGGGAAUCUUCGGCAAUGGGGGCAACCCUGACCGAGCAACGCCGCGUGAGUGAAGAAGGUUUUCGGAUCGUAAAGCUCCGUUGUAAGAGAAGAACGUGUGUGAGAGUGGAAAGUUCACACAGUGACGGUAACUUACCAGAAAGGGACGGCUAACUACGUGCCAGCCGCCGCAGUAA
rnacentral:rRNA from 1 species